CAUAGUGGUUUCUGAGCUCCUGAGGGCUGACGUGGUAUCGUAGUCACCUUAGCAUCUCUAAUCUUUAGUGCCAGACUGGGUAUACGCAGGAUGAUCGUUUUGAAGGACAAAUCUGAUAGGUGAGCUCUACCCCACCCCCUCCCCUUGAACCCUUCCGUGGCUACCCAUUCCUCCUUACUAUGAUCUGAGUGUCCCUGUGCAUCUGACUUCUGGCUAAUUAGAAACUACUAAUUCCUACUAUCCUUUAGUUCCAGCUUAAAUAUCGCUUUCCCGUGCAAGCUUCCCCUAAUCUUCCUCCACCAACACACAAAGUUAGGACCCCAUGAGACACCCACCCCCAUAGCCUGUGCUUUUCCCCUGUGUCAGUGAUCACAACUGUCAUCAUGCGAUUCUUCCUGGAAUAUUUGUCUUCCCCAUGGACUGUAAGUUCCACAAAGGCUGGGAUGGUAUGUGCACUCCUGCAUCCUCAGUGCUGGCCAGUGCCUGCAACACAGUAGGGCUGCUUCCUCCCUGGGCCCAUCAUCCUUUAUUCAGGUGUCUUUACCCCAGAGCUUGCGAAUUUCCAGGUCCUACUCACGGUUCCUUUCCACAGGCAUGGGAAGUCCCAGACAAUACGGCUUCUGGCAGACUGACUUGCCUUGCCAAAGCUCACGACCUGGCUUGCGUGGCAAAUAAUGAAAGAGCUUGAACAGGGGAAUUCUUCAUGAUAGCAUGCUGAUUCAUUCUGCAAAGUAGUGCCUGAGCACCUCCUGUGUGCCUGGGGCUGAGGACGGAGUGGUGAACAAGACAGUGAAAACCCCCUCCUCAUGAAGCUUACCUUCCAAUGGCUGUCUUCGCAUUUGUGUUAAAAGGAGAGUGACGUGUUUCCAGUCUUCAACUCAAGAGAAACUGUUACUCAAGGAAUUGGACUUGAAGAGCCUCAUCUGCACAUGGACCUGGUUUAAAUGGUGAGAGUCUGGACUCUGAGCUCAUGCUGUGAUGAGAUGAGAGUUUGGGGGACCUUGAAAGCGGGUGAGUUUAUUUUGUGUGUGAGAGGGCAUGAAUAAUUCAGAAGAUGGACU
rnacentral:lncRNA from 1 species